rnacentral:misc_RNA from 1 species
UCUCGGCUUAUCACCGGCAGUCCCCUUAGAGUGCCCAACUGAAUGCUGGCAACUAAGGGCGAGGGUUGCGCUCGUUGCGGGACUUAACCCAACAUCUCACGACACGAGCUGACGACAGCCAUGCAGCACCUGUGGCGGCCCCCCGAGGGGAGGCCCGGGUCUCCCCGGGCCGCGGCCGCCAUGUCAAGGGCUGGUAAGGUUCUGCGCGUUGCGUCGAAUUAAACCACAUGCUCCACCGCUUGUGCGGGCCCCCGUCAAUUCCUUUGAGUUUCAGUCUUGCGACCGUACUCCCCAGGCGGAGUGCUUAACGCGUUAGCUGCGGCACCGCGGGGGUCAAUACCCACAGCACCUAGCACUCAUCGUUUACGGCAUGGACUAC